UUUCAUUCGGCCCUCGCAGGCCUCCUCGGGUUACCUUUGCCUAAAUCACCAUUUUCAUCAGAAACUUAAUUUGGAUCCAUCUCUUCUCCUCUCCCGUCGCCGCCGAACCCUAGCUAGCUAGCUACCUCAGAUCAGUCCAGCUGCGAGAGGCCACCGGCGGCAUGGCUGCGUGCGGCGGCGAGCAUAGCACGCGAUGCGACCGCUCUAAUCGGAUCCAAUCGAAUACCGCCGCACCGUCCGUCCCGCUCGCCGUGGCUGAUGGCCGCGUCCCUCCCCAAACGGCGGCGAUGAUGGAGGAGCCGCCUGGCGCCGGCCGGUCUCCCGAGCGGCGGGCGCGCCGGGUCGCCUCUCCUCGGGCCCAGCCCCUCCCGCCGCGCCGUCACGCAUCGGCUCGGGGGCCCCCCUCGGGAAUGCCGCCUGUGCGGGAGGCGUCCGCAGCGGCGCGGGCUGGGGACCGGGCGGCGGGGCCCGUGGUGCGCUCCGGUCGAGGGCUUGGUCGGGCCGGCGCGGGAUCUGAGCCGCCGUCGCAGCUUGGCUGCAUGUUGCUUUCGAUUCGAGGGAGUAUGUAUGUAUGGAUAUGAGGGUCAUCUUGCUUGGUGGGCAAAGGCCGGGGGUACAACCUCCUUUUCGGUAAAAAAUGAGGGGCGAUGAUGAUGACUGGCCUGUGGGUACUAAAUUAGAGCCCACCCUUACCUCCCUUGCAGCCUGUUCAAUUCAUCGGUAAUGUUGGAUGUUCUGCACCUUGGACGGUCAUUCUGAUGAGUGAUAACCAGGGCAGUUCUCUUACAUUGUGAUGGGUAGAUUAUGCAGCAAGAGAUGUGAGUGUUGGGUUUGAAGAUGAAAUGCAAAACUGAGCCCUCUUUUGCUUACGAUCCUUGUAUCCCCCCCCCCCCCCUCUCUCUCUCUCUCCCUUAAACAAAUCAGUCAAGCUUUCAUUGCCGACUCGCUGACCCAUCGUCCGGGUAGCUGCCAUGUCAGUUCCCGGUCUCUACGGUGCUGCCAGCCGCCGCCAGUCCAUUGCCUUGGAUUUGGUUGUGGCGUGGCUGGGAACCGUAAGGCGUUGUCUGAUGUGUCGUCCACACCAGGAGGUUUGGUCGGUCAAGGCCAGGUAUGAGCAGCUCCUGAGAUUGUCUAAGUUACUCACCACUAUGGCUAGUCUGAUGGAUGAAUGGAUGGAUGGAUGAUGGAUGUUAUGGUCAUGUUGCUUGGGGGGUUUGACCUUUUUUUUUUUAAAAAAAAAGGGCGAUGAUGAUGCCUGCGGCUGAAAUAAUUAUGUGUUGAGCAAUCAAGACAGCCGUGGCAUGUGGGUACUAAAUAGGCCCCAAAUGGGUGCCGGCGUUGGAGAUGCCCUUAAGAGCUCUCACCCUUACUUCUCUUGCAGCCUAUUCAAUUCAUGGCUAAUGUUGGAUGUUCUGCGCCUCGGAUGGUCAUUCUGAUGAGUGAUAACCAGGGCAGUUCAAUUACAUCGCGAUGGGUAGGUUAUGCAGCAAGAGACGUGAGUGUUGGGCUUCAAGAUAAAAGGCAAAACUGAGCCCUC